rnacentral:rRNA from 1 species
CCUACGGGAGGCAGCAGUGGGGAAUAUUGCGCAAUGGGGGAAACCCUGACGCAGCGACGCCGCGUGAGCGAAGAAGGCCUUCGGGUUGUAAAGCUCUGUUGUAAGGGACGAAAGAUCAAGGGAGUAACUGCCCUUGAAGUGACGGUACCUUACCAGCAAGCCCCGGCUAACUACGUGCCAGCAGCCGCGGUAAU